GGGUGCGAUCAUACCAGCACUAAUGCACCGGAUCCCGUCAGAACUCCGAAGUA
rfam:Ricinus communis cultivar Hale ctg_1100012318007, whole genome shotgun sequence.